UGCACCGGAAAGCGGGGAGUGAAUAUGCAGACAGAUCCACAGGUGGAUGGGAAAGCAGCAGACUUAGGGUCGGAAGGUUCCUCGCCAACAGAAAAUGCAAAGAUUUAUUUAUCACAGUUACUAGGAAUCGUAAGUUGUCUAUGUUAGUAGUAAUAGGGUUUAGGGUGUUGCUGUUAAGUAUUUCCGUGGAUGUUAUAACAACCAUGUUAGGUGCCGUUUUCAUAUCACGUAGUGUAACAGGUCGAUGUGACGUGUCGAAAGUGCUUCCACCUAAAGCGGGAGAAGUGGUUGCUGACUCGGACGUGGAAGAAUCCGGGUUCCGGCCAAACGAGGGGGUCAGACUAGGCAUAUCCGUAUCAAAAGUUGGGAUUCUGUACUCCCAAUGUGCUUUAACGACGACAACUGUGUAAAGAUUGUAGAGAUGAUGCAUGACAUAAUCAGGGUUACUGAGAGGCUUGCAAGUAAUCCGAGACAAGUUUGAGACUAACCAUUCAACGAAUGAAUGGUUAGGUUUUGGGCAACAUGUAAUGUUAUGUUACAUUU